CACGCCGGCAGCACAAUGAUGAUGUCACUGACUCUACUGCUGGCCGCCCUGGGGCUCCUUGUUCAGGGUUCAUCAGGAGAUAUCAUCCUGACUCAGUCUCCUGGAUCUCAGUCUGUUCUUCCAGGACAGUCUGUCUCCAUCACAUGUAGAUCCAGUUCAAGUGUUGGUAGCUACCUCCACUGGUACCUUCAGAAACCUGGAGAAACUCCUAAACUAAUGAUUUAUACAGCUACAUCUCGUCAGUCUGGAGUUUCAGAUCGUUUCAGUGGAAGUUAUUCUGGAUUUGUCUUCACUUUGACCAUCAGUAGAGUUCAGGCUGAAGAUUCAGGAGUUUAUUAUUGUCAGCAGAGUAACAGCUUCCCGUGGACGUUCGGUGGAGGAACCAGACUGGAAGUUGGAAGUGAUGUCCGUCCCUCCCUGACGGUGCUGCCUCCCUCCGUGGAGGAGCUGGACCAGGGGAAGGCCACGCUCAUGUGCCUGGCCAACAAGGGCUUCCCCUCAGACUGGAGUCUGUCCUGGAAGGUGGACGGCAGCAGCAGCAUCAGCAACGGGGAGCAGAGCAGGAGCCUCGGGGUGCUGCAGAAGGACGGCCACUACAGCUGGAGCAGCACCCUGAGGCUCCCUGCAGACCAGUGGAGGAAGGUGGUCUCUGUGACCUGUGAGGCCAGCCAGGGCUCCCAGACUCCGCUCUCAGAGACACUGAGGAGAGACCAGUGUUCCCAGUCCUGACCUGACUCACUGGGACUCUCACACUGCUUUCACUCUCUCUCUGCUCUCUGGCUUUUCUUUCACAUCUUCCAAUAACAGGAUUUACUGGCUUCUUGCUGUGUUUCAAUGUUGUUUCACUGCUUCUUAAUAAUAAAGAUCUGCUCAUCAACUCA